AACGAACGCUGGCGGCAUGCCUAACACAUGCAAGUCGAACGAGACCUUCGGGUCUAGUGGCGCACGGGUGCGUAACGCGUGGGAACCUGCCCUUAGGUUCGGAAUAACUCCCCGAAAGGGGUGCUAAUACCGGAUAAUUUCUUCGGACCAAAGAUUUAUCGCCUUUGGAUGGGCCCGCGUUGGAUUAGCUAGUUGGUAGGGUAAAAGCCUACCAAGGCGACGAUCCAUAGCUGGUCUGAGAGGAUGAUCAGCCACACUGGGACUGAGACACGGCCCAGACUCCUACGGGAGGAAGCAGUGGGGAAUAUUGGACAAUGGGCGAAAGCCUGAUCCAGCAAUGCCGCGUGAGUGAUGAAGGCCUUAGGGUUGUAAAGCUAUUUUACCCGGGAUGAUAAUGACAGUACCGGGAGAAUAAGCUCCGGCUAACUCCGUG
rnacentral:rRNA from 1 species